UACGUAGGGGGCAAGCGUUACCCGGAUUCACUGGGCGUAAAGCGCGUGUAGGCGGCUGGCCAAGCGUGGUGUGAAAUCUCCGGGCUCAACCCGGAAACUGCGCUGCGAACUGGCCUGGCUGGAGUGCAGGAGAGGGAUGCGGAAUUCACGGUGUAGCGGUGAAAUGCGUAGAUAUCGUGAGGAACACCUGUGGCGAAAGCGGCUCACUGGACCACAACUGACGCUGAGGCGCGAAAGCUAGGGGAGCAAACAGG
rnacentral:rRNA from 1 species